CUCCGAUUUCGCUGCUGCUCCUCUCUCUUUCAUAAGGAUCAAAUAUGGGUUCAUUCCAUGAAAUCAAUUCUAGCGCUCAAUCGUCUACUGGGAUUGAAACUUGCUCCCUCUGAUACAUGAAAUCAUGAAAUUAGAAGCUGGGUUCGAUGAAGUUGAUUGGCUUUGGAUUCCCAGACAUCUAAAUCACGGUGCCCAUGUAGCGGCAGGGAUUGAUUUGAGGACGGUGGAGCUGCAAAAGUUGAGCUGGGGACUUCCCAACCCAUUGAACAUGAAACUUCACUGCAAUCAAUGGUACCAUGCAUAUGAAGAGUCCUAAUUUGCACGACUUCUAUAUCUUCUACAUGGGAAAGGGACUUACUCUUCUUCUUGUGCUUCUUAAUUUCAAAUUGGUUUUGAUUAUGUUUUUCAGUUAGGUAUUGUUUUGAUUUUGAUUUUGGAUUUGCAGGUAUUCCAACUAGCGGCCCAUCCACCCUUCCCAGCAUCUGAUAAGGGUUGGGGUAAAGAAUUAGGCCAAGUACAAGACUAAUAUACUAUUUUGGAGUCUAUUUAUUUGGCUACUUGAAUUUGUAAUAUUUUCAUUGUAUCUGGAGAUUGUAUUUUUUUUUU